rnacentral:lncRNA from 1 species
CUUCAAUAAGAUCAAUCAUAUGAUUGACAUAGGGUCCAGCUGGUGAGUUUCCAGUCAAUUUGGAUCCAAAUAAAGUCUUAGAUAGUUGGUAUCUAGCUGUCCUGCUUUGUGUACCAAACACAUCUUCUUAAGAUGUUCAAUAAUUGCAGUUGGAUCCAUAUCCUGAUGUUUCCUCUGCAGUUCAGAAUUCAUAGAAGCGAGAAUGAUGCAUUUGGUAGUAUUCUUCCAAGUAUUUCUGAUAAAUCUUGGGAGCAUCAUCAUCAUUUACAUCUGGGACUUCCUUGGCAGGCUUAUCGAUCACAUCAAUAAACUUUUCAUGCAUGAGAACAAUUCUCAAAUUUCUGUACCAAUCAUCAAAGUUUGGUCCUACCAACUUGUUGGUCUCAAGUAUUCCAC